rnacentral:lncRNA from 1 species
UCCCAUCCGCCUUUUCCCUGCCUUUCUUCUCACACUGGAAAUUUGGGAGGUGAUGGAAAUGGCCCUUUCCAGUCCAAGCCCUGCCUUGGCCCCCAGCCCUGGGCGGGGUCCCUGCGCACCCCCCUUCGCCACCGGCUUGUCGGGGUUGUGGAGGUGCCGGGUCUGACGGACACGAGGACCACGACCCGCGCUCCUUCCGUGGGUGACCCCACACUCCGUGUCGGUCCCGGACCCCCCCGACGUGUGCUCCUGGGCCUUGCUUUCGUGCCGAGCAGCGCAGCCCUCGCCCCCGCGGCGCCCUGCACGCUGCCAGCCCGGGGGAGAAGGAAGGGGGGCAGCAGCGGGACCCCCCGGGGCCUGGCCGGCUUCGAGGGGCUCAGACGCGGCCCCCACCCGUGGGGGGCUCCCGGCCCGGCGAGGCCCGGUGACGCCAAGCCAGGCCCAGCCUCCCCCACGGGGGGCGGGCGAGCAGGGAAGAGCAAUGUGGUUGUGGCCUUGCGUGGAGGGGGGGUCGGGAGCUGGAACGGUUUGCGGUCCCAAAGCAGGCGUAAAUACAGAAAAGGGCAUUCCUCCGACGUUGCGGCCCCGAGUGGGUGCAUUUUGCUGCUGACUCACGCGGGUGAGGGGAAGCCGAGCCCAGGGGCAGACCCUGCCGCCGCGCCCGGAGCGGUUUCCGCAGCCACGGGAGGAGAAAUCCGCUCUGAGCAGCAAAGCGCUUUCAUUUAUCCCCCCUUUUCUUCCCUCCCCUCCCUCUUGCUCGCGGCGGGGUCGGGCAGAUCGCACUGUCUGACGGGGCGGCCGGGAGCAGCCUUCGGGAAACAGCAGGCGGAGGGGAUGAGCCCCCCCAAGAUUUCGGCGUCGCUUUUUCCCCGGCGCCUCAUGCCUCCAGAGAGCGAUGGCUGUCUGGAGGGAAGCGCAGGAACGCGGUGCGACAUGCGACAAACUCGGGCUAUCUGCCCGAGAAGCAAGAGCGCUGCCCCCCGUCGGAGCAGGCACGAAGCCGGGGCCUUAGCCCGUCCUCCCCGGCCCUUCGCCCACCGCCCGCUCCCCCCGGACACCGGCAGCCUCCCUGCCCCUGCAGGGUCCCCGCACCACCGAAAUGGCCGGGGCUGUCUGGCCCGGGUUUGGGUUUUAUACAACGGGGUUGGUUCAUUUCGUUCCCCUUCGCCUCCCUGCUCUCCGCUGCCCAGCAAGGCACGCUUCAAUUCCUGCGAAGCGCCAGCUCUAGAGGGAGGCAGAAGCAAGCGGAGUUAUUGUUCUGGUUUUAUUUUAAUCGCGUAA